UUUUUUUUCAAAUCCAGAGUCUGAUAACUUAUACAAGGUACAGAAGUUCAAACAUUUUAAAAUUAAAGUUCAUUUGUAUUCCUAAAGAUGAUAAAGGCAGGGAUAAAGAAGGUCGGAAGGCGAACAUCUUUGAAGGAUCAGAAACGCCUUUUGUAUCUCUUCAUUAUAUUUACAAAUGCUGACUGGAAAUCAUCACGAUUCCAGGGAUAGAGUAUUAUUGAUCUUCCUUUCCAUCUUCUCUAAUAUAUCUUGUUACUUUUAGGGUUUAGGAAAACCAUGCCAUUUCUUAUAAUUGUACUCAAAUAGCACACUUAGCUAUAUUAAUUUUCCAUAUGAAAAAUAUUUUAGAAUCAACUUUGAAGUUUAUAGUGAUUUUUUUCAACAAUGUAAAUAGUUAUCAAUAAGAUACUGAAUGUCAACAUAAGUCAUUAUAAGGCUUUGUAAGUUCUGUGUACAUGUAUGUGUGCAUGGACACUCACUUGACUUUAUAAACUAGGAGUAUAAUUAUGGAACUGAGAGGAUGUGUGUGUCACUUUGCUGUCAAUUAUUAGACUGCUUAUAUAGAUAUAGUAUAACACUUCCCUUUUUAGUGUUUAUCAGUAAUUACACACAGAUUCUGAAUAACUGAUCUUACUGAAUGGCUACAACAUUUCUGGAAUAUCUACAAUAUGACUUGAUUUGGGGAGAGACUUUAUCCAUCCAGGUCCUCAGUAAUUUGGAAAAAAAGGUUUUUAAAAAGAUAAAUUAUUUUUUUAAAUGUGUAUUGGUGUUUCGCCUGUAUGGACAUCUGUGUGAUGGUGUAGGACCCCCAGAACUGGAGUUACAGAGUUGUGAGCUGCCAUGUGGGUACUGGGAAUUGAACCUGGGUCCUCUGGAAUAGUAGCCAGUGCUUUUAACCAGUGAUCUCUCCAACCAUGGAAAAUAUACUCUUAAAUUUAUGUAAGAUGACAAAAAUGGGAGAAAUCUUUGCAAAAGAGAAAAAUGGGCAAGAAGUAAUCUCCCAUGGAAUAACAAAUAAUGGAGCAAGUAUCAAGAGAACAAAGUAACUGCUGAGUUAACACCGGCUUGUUGUACAAAGAACCCAUCAUCUUUUGUGAUCCUUCCUUCUGGCUGUGUGACAUUUCUCUAAGAGGACAAUUUGUACCCUAACAAAACCAAUGUAAUCUGAGACUAGAUUUUUGCAUCUUGAGUUACUUUUAGCACAAGCACACCACACAACCACCAAAUCCAUGCAGUAUCUUUUUUCCACUUUUAUGCAGGCACGCACACAUGCACGCAUGCAUACCCAUGUGCCAUGGCAUGCAUGCGGAGAUCAGAGGACUGGACCUGUCUUCAAAUCCUUUGUUUUCUUCUACCAAGUGGGGUCCAGGGACUGAGAACAAUUCAUCAGGCUUGGUGGGAAUAAUGACAUCCUAUCGUUUAUAAUCAAAAACGAAGUUUGAACUUGUAAUGAAAGGCCUCCUUUCCAGUUUCAAUGUCAGGUAAGUAUUAAGCCGCUUGUCCUAUGAUCUGUGAAUAAGAUACAUUAAUUUGUAGGAGAGCAGAAUUUUACCACAUAUGUAGAACUGGUUGUCAGUAAUGACACAGCACAUGAAAAAGAACAAGAAGCUCCAAAGGAUGAAGUACUUUCUACUUACUAGCAUACCCCUUCCUAACAUACCCUGAAAACAGUUACUAAGUAACAGUUUUAAUAAGUGGACUAUCCACUAAUCAAAAAACAGUGAGAUGAAAAGAUUAGUGUUUCUGGUUAUUAAUAACAACUAAGUCCUGGAAAUAUUUACAUAGUAUCUAGGAAAUAACAUUUAAGAUUGCUUUUUAAAGCAGUAUUUUUCCAUACUAUUUACUUAAGAGUAUCCCUAGUGGUAAUUUGAAAAAUAAAACUUAUUCACCACUUGAGGGUAUCUAUGCUUAAUGAGGUAAUACUGCCUUUCCAUGUGCCUGGAUUCCAUAGCAACAUAGGCUGCAGAGACAUAAUUGUAUUUGAGAAUUACUCCAGAU
ensembl:lncRNA